rnacentral:lncRNA from 1 species
GCAUCUGAUCACCUUUUCAGUGAGAGACUGAAUCAGAUCCAAUGGAUCUCCUAAGGAUGAGGAAAUCCUGUCCAGAGCAGGCAGAGUGAAAAAAGUGGUCCAAAAGGUGACAACAGACAGGAGGCACAGAUAUUAAAUUUUCCUGGAACUCCAGCAUCUCAUGAUUACUGCCCUGACCAGUUCUUCUCUGUGUUUUUAAAAACAAAUGGAGUGUAAGAAGAAAAAGAAGGGAAAGGAAAUUAAGAAAAGUUGCCCUUUUUCAGUCAGAAUGGCUGCUUUGCCACCCCGCAGAGUCACAUAUGGAGAACAGGACACAGGCACCACCUGUUCUACUGUUACAUUUCAGCUUCCUCCUGUGGAGUUAAGGGUCGAGUCCAACAGCCCUGUACAGAACCUGCUGAAUGGUGCCAUCUCCAUGCUUCCAGCUGUCAAGUCCCUGCCCCAUUGAUCUGUAAGAAAUCUGCUCAGUGACCUCUGUGGACAUUGUCUGAGGGAGUAUUCUUUGGAGAGCUGUGCUAAAGCCUAGUUCCUGUGAAGUUUCUCCGAGAAGUGCUGUGCUCCUUGCUCCUGUGCCCCCUCUGCACUGCAAGGAAUGAAUGCAGCUUCCACAGGAGGUCUGAGUGCUGCUCCUGGCUCCAUUCAGGAUCACUCUGGUGAUGUUCACAAUCAUAGCUCUCCCCUAGUGACAGACAGUCUUCAAAGUGAGAAGGGGCAGGAGAGAUUUCUUGGGAGUCUCUCAGUCAUUUUCAGAGGUACUUGAACACUGUGGCUGCUGUUUUGAAGUCCUGGGCAGAGGUGAGCUUGUGAUCUGUGAGCUCACGCAAGCUGAGUUUAUUUCCCUCUUUUGUGACACUGGUGACAUGCACCAAAGCUGAAAGCUAGCUUGGAGUCUGAAGCUGGCCUAUUUCUGCAAGAGAUCAGAUGAUGUCCAUAGGACCUUUCUAACCUAAAUUCUUCUGUGGUUUAUGUUUGUACCUGGAGAAAACUGGAGCACAGCUCCUAGUGUUACGUUGCUGUGUAAAUAGCUGCCAGGGAGUGAGCCUGCUACCCUGCUGAGCUGAAAAUAAACACGAAUUGCUUCUAAAACUUCUUCA